GCAGGGAGGGACCAGAGGAACCGCCCCAGCCGCUCGAUGUUGCCGCCUUGCUGGAGCACCUCGCAGACGCAGGCCACUUGCUCUUGGGUGAAGCCAAAAGUCGGGAGCAUCGACAUGAUAGGUUAAACCUGGAAAAGUCUUCCGCAGUCUGUCAAAGGUGAUUCAGAGAUGUCAUUGCCAUGGCAAGAAAUGCCUUAUCUGAGAAGCAGCCACCAACUACCCUGCUUACCUGCAAGUGAGUGGAAUUCCUGUCCCCUUCCUGGUGCAUAAUGAUACAAGAGGAUUUGGGGAGCCCUUCUUUUGCUGUAUCCAUGCCAAGGGAACGAAGCACAGCCUCUAAAGACCCAGACACAGGUUCUUGAAUCAACUCGAAUACGCUGGGGACCUUUUACUUCCCAGAGAAAAACCUGCAUCCUGAAACAAAUACAGUUGUGGGUGAGGGUGAUAUGUUCCUGUUUAUUUUGAAAUGGAAGGAGGUUAGCAGCAACAUUUGGCAUGCACUGAAGAAGUCUGAGUACUGGGCCUUACAGUCAUCAUGAAGUGAGCCUCAGCUUUCAAGAAGAGAAGAAAUAAAGAAGUGUAAUUGGGUGGAAUUAAAAGACAACUAGAGCCAUAUUGCACAAAUAAGUUUUAAGAGCAUUUGCUACAGAGUGUGAUACAUCCCACAUGGAAAAAAUCCUCUCAACUCGUGCUGCCCACUCUGCACUAAACUGCAUGAACACACCAAGUGGAAUAGCUUUGGAAAGUGAUUGUUGUUGGUACCAAAACACUUAGGACCUCAGCUCCAUCAUCACAUUCUCUGAACACUGGCCAGAAGAUUUCCUGCUUCAGAGACCUUUGGGGUAAAGAGAUUAAUGGGGAAGCUGAUUAUGUAUUGGCUACUGAUUCCAGCUCUGCAGAGAGGUUCUCACUGGAUUUCAAGUACAGUAAAAGUACAGAAAUAGGAAAGGUUUCUUGCCAAGACUGACCAAGAUGCCACAGACAUAUAGUCCCACAUCCUCCCACUCUUCGUGUCUAAGGGUUGCAUUGUGCCGUUUAAGAAAUAUUGGUGGUGUCAGAUUCUCAGUGCUGGGAGAAUGGCACAAAGGGGCACUAAAUCAGUGUCACUGGCACCUGGAAACAGCUGGUGGAGGAAGCAGCACCCUCCAAACCAACCUUAGAGAAGAAGUUUACCGCACAGAAAUGCAACCUCACAGAGUUCCCCACUACUCAAAUGUCCUUGAACAGGAUCCAGAGGAUGUGGCUCAUGAGAAAGAGAGACUGAGCUAUGGUUACAAGUUCAGGUCUACUUCAAGAUCACUUCUACUCAGACAAAUAUUUACUUCCCACAGACAUAGAGCUAUACAUUUUGUAAGACAUUGCAUUACCUUCCAGUAUUUGGAACCACCUGAUCUGUGUUUGGUUGAUCUGAUAGCUGCCUGAAGUAUAGGUCACAAUGAGUUAUCACACUUUUCUGGCAGCACUGAGUGGAAGGAAAAAGCUGUAAGAGAAAUGAUCUAUUGUCCUCAAUUGCAUGAACUUGGAACGGCAGAUAAGAAGCAGAUCCAUUAUUUCCAUCUGCAGGAGGCAGCCAUCUUAUAUCUCCAUGAUCUUUACUGUAGAUAAAGAUGAAGUAAACCUCUUGCCUUACAGAAAGCCCUCUGUCCUUUUGGUUUAGACCAUAAGCUCCCCUGGCAGUGUAACAGGCAUAACAGCAAAAAAAGCAGACUUAUAUUAAUACCUCCCAAAGAGAAUAUGCAUUUAAUCAUAUGCUUCAUUUUAAGCUUGUGUUUGAACUUCUAUCA